rnacentral:rRNA from 1 species
GUUGGCGGCCAUAGGUGGGAGCUAGGACCCGUUCCCAUUCCGAAAGAAUGAGGAAAGCGAUGCUUAACUCGUACCGGAAGCACGGAAGUGAAUCUCCCAUGCGAUCUCUGUGGUAGUGUGGUGCUAACGCCCACGCGAAGCUUAGACCGCUGCCAACC